rfam:Stegodyphus mimosarum contig107552, whole genome shotgun sequence.
GCCUUCGGGGUCUACUAGUCAGCACGCUCGACUCGUAUUCGGGAGGUCCGUGGUUCGAGUCCUGGCAAGGGCA